rnacentral:lncRNA from 10 species
GCGAUGGAGACUGCGGCCCAAGUUAGGAUUAGGACAGCGGUUUUUCAGUCCGGAGAUUCCGGCCACAACUAUUUUUGUCUGUUUUUAUCGUAAGCCAGAGUCUUUGGGUGCAGCUCUGGGACACCUAAAGGGCCUGGAGAAAUUCAGGCGGGGCCAGUGCUGUGGGGGUAGAUGUUAGACGUGGAAGGGACCCUAGAGAGCCUUGACUGUGAGGACUGAGACAGGGCCUCCUUUGUUGCCCAGGCCGGAGUGCAGUGGCUAUUCACAGGUCGAUAAUGCAAUCAUGGUGCACACUACAGCCUUGAACUUCUGGGCUCAUGUGAUCCUUCUGCCUCAGCCUCCCAGCGCUAUCCUCAUCAUACAUAUACUGUGAAGAUAAAAUAUCUGUUGAAGAUUCUUUGAGCACCUUGGGCCAGAAGAGCUACAGAAAGCCAAGGUGUGGCUGUGAUGACACUGAAUUCAGCUCAAGACCCAGGAGAACCUUACAUCUAUUCUUAUUUCCACAAGGAAGUGCACACAUGGCUAAUGCAAAUUCUUCCAUAAUAAUGAUAUAAACUUGAGUUGUCCAGGUUUGAUGAGACCCACAUCUUGUAUAUACAGUGUCAUCUACUGCCUCUGUUAGGGGCUCUAGGGGAUAAAGGAAACUAUAUUAAGAAAUGCAGCAUCUGUUUCUCCCUGUGUGACCACCCUACUUCCAAGAAGUUUCUGUAUCCUUGGCUGAAGUGCACUGUGUGUAUGUGUAUGUGUGUACACUCUUCUACAUCAAUCUGUAAGUCACUGAAAUGCUGCAGAUGUUUUAAAAAAAUUCCACCAUACUUGCUUACUUUAAACUUUGAAACAGGCAAAUAGCUAAGGCCAAUAACACUAGAUAGAAUUAAGUAAUUAAUAAUUUAACAGCACAAUUUAACAUUGUGCUUCUUAGGAUGGGCAGGGAUUGGUUAAUGGAUACAAAAUUAUAGCUAGAUAGGAGGAAUGAGUUCUGGUGUUCUGGAGCACUGUAGGAUGAAUAUGGCUAACUAUAAUUUAUUGUAUACUGUCAAAAGUCUAGAAGAAAGGAUUUUAAAUGUUCACAACACAAAUAAUAAAUUUUUGAGAUAAUGCAUAUCUGGUUUGAUUGUUAUACAUUGUAUACAGUAUUAAAAUAUCACUAUGUAUCCCAUGAAUAUGUAAAAUUAUUAUUUAUUAUUUUAAAAAUAAAAGGGGAGGAAAGAGA